rnacentral:lncRNA from 1 species
CGUGAGGCCAAUGAGGAGUUGCAGUGUGUUCAACUACAAAAUAGAGAAAUUGGAAACAUAAUGGAUUCUAACAUUGUGCCAGAGGACAUUGCUGAAUUGAAGUAAGGGAACAUCCUUUUUUAAAUGCUUAAUCAUUGUAGACCUACUUUAAAUUGUCAUCCUAGCUCUCUGUAUGACUCUAAAUCUCUGGCAUUAAUAUCGAGCUAAUCCACACCUCAGUGUGUAUGUGCAGAAAUUGGUUUUGUCCAUGAGUUAAAAAAGGUUGUGACUUAGAGGUUAUAAAUGCCAAAUAAAAAUUACAUAAUGAUGUUGCAUCCAGUCGAGCUUGACUUGAAAGAAGGUGAAUUAAGGCAAUCUGGGUUUCCCAGUUUCUAUUGUAUACUCAUCUCCAUUUUGCUACCUUCAAAAGCCUUGUAAAUGGGGAGUUGUCAGCAGUCUUAAAGAAAAGUGAAGGAAGAGCAAAAAAUAACCCUUUAUCUUAAUAUGUGUGAUACAAACACAUACCUAAUUUUAAUUGCCUGAGGAAAACAUUUUUUAAGUUGACAGACCCCACUUAAAAAAUAAGUAAAGAAGUAAAGUAUCAAUCCUUUCUUAAUUUUUUGCUGUUUUGCAUCUCUUUUAGGGUUCAGCUUGUCCAGCUUAACUCUGAAAACAAAAUUUUGAAAUUGAAUCAAAAGAAACCAGAAGACCAGAACUUGGCAGUGGUUCAAUCUCUUCUUGACGAUAAAACUCAAGCAUACAAUCGAUUGAAUCAAGAAAACAGAAGACUGAAUCAGCGCAUAAUGGAGCUUGAAUCUGAGAGGAAAGAAGAUGAUAAAAUGGACGAAAACGAUGCUUCUGCCUUAAAAUCGAAGUUGACUGAGCUUCAAGAUAAGCAGCAUAGCAUGAAAGAAGAGCUUGAUGAGAAAGUCAGCAUCAUCAUGGAAAAAAGUAAUUUGUUUGCCGUUUUUCCCAAAAUGUUGCAUACAUUAGAAGUACUGCACUGUUCUUGGAACUAGCUUUGAUCAAUGUGAAUCAAUUUGAUCAACAUGAAUUUUUAUCUAAAAUUUAUUAAA